rnacentral:lncRNA from 1 species
GGUAAUAAAAAUAAUGAGCAGAUAUGACAUAUCCUCAAAUUUUCUUCCACUCCCCUACUAACUCUUAAUUGCCUCAGAGUUCCAACUCCACUGAAACACUAACGCAAAACCAAGCAAAAAUCAAUUCCCAUGCUCGCACUGGGAUUCGAACACAGGACCUCCAGCACACCAACUUCUUUACUACUCGAACCAGCAGGCUCAUUCUAAUAUAAAAUUACAGACAAUCAAAUAUAAGCCCACUAAACAAGGAUAAGGCUUAAUUCCAAAAAAAACUAAAAUUGCUAAAGGUAAGGCUUGAACUUAGGACCUCUCAGACAUUCCCAGAACACUUGACCAC